AAAUGAAUUGACGGGGGCCCGCACAAGCGGCGGAGCAUGCUGAUUAAUUCGAUGCAACGCGAAGAACCUUACCUGGGUUUGACAUAUACCGGAAAGCUGCAGAGAUGUAGCCCCCCUUGUGGUCGGUAUACAGGUGGUGCAUGGCUGUCGUCAGCUCGUGUCGUGAGAUGUUGGGUUAAGUCCCGCAACGAGCGCAACCCUCGUCCUAUGUUGCCAGCACGUCAUGGUGGGGACUCAUAGGAGACUGCCGGGGUCAACUCGGAGGAAGGUGGGGAUGACGUCAAGUCUUCAUGCCCCUUAUGUCCAGGGCUUCAAGCAUGCUACAAUGGCCGGUACAAUGGGCUGCGAUACCGCAAGGUGGAGCGAAUCCCAAAAAGCCGGUCUCAGUUCGGAUUGGGGUCUGCAACUCGACCCCAUGAAGUCGGAGUCGCUAGUAAUCGCAGAUCAGCAACGCUGCGGUGAAUACGUUCCCGGGCCUUGCACACACCGCCCGU
rnacentral:rRNA from 1 species